UCCCGGGUGGCUUAGAUGGUAAAGAAUCUGCCUGCAAUGCAGGAGACCUGGGUUCGAUCCCUGGGUUGGAAG
rnacentral:tRNA from 1 species